AGUAACGCGUGGGCAACCUGCCUCAUACAGGGGGAUAGCAUCGGGAAACUGGUGGUAAAACCGCAUAAGCGCACGAAGACGCAUGUAUUCGUGUGAAAAGGAGAAAUCUGGUAUGAGAUGGACCCGCGUCUGAUUAGCUAGUUGGAGUGGUAAAAGCACACCAAGGCGACGAUCAGUAGCCGGCCUGAGAGGGUGGACGGCCACAUUGGGACUGAGACACGGCCCAAACUCCUACGGAAGGCAGCAG
rnacentral:rRNA from 1 species